GACGAACGCUGGCGGCGUGCCUAAUACAUGCAAGUAGAACGCUGAAGAGAGGAGCUUACUCUUCUUGGAUGAGUUGCGAACGGGUGAGUAACGCGUAGGUAACCUGCCUUGUAGCGGGGGAUAACUAUUGGAAACGAUAGCUAAUACCGCAUAACAAUGGAUGACACAUGUCAUUUAUUUGAAAGGGGCAAUUGCUCCACUACAAGAUGGACCUGCGUUGUAUUAGCUAGUAGGUUAGGUAAUGGCUCACCUAGGCGACGGUACAUAGCCGACCUGAGAGGGGGAUCGGCCACACUGGGAAUGGGACACGGCCCAGACUCCUACGGGAGGCAGCCGGAGGGAAUCUUCGGCAAUGGGGGCAACCCUGACCGGGCAACGCCGCGUGAGUGAAGAAGGUUUUCGGAUCGUAAAGCUCUGUUGUAAGUGAAGAACGGGUGUGGGAGUGGAAAGUUCACACUGUGACGGUAGCUUACCAGAAAGGGACGGCUAACUACGUG
rnacentral:rRNA from 1 species